rnacentral:rRNA from 1 species
CUCGUCGCAUCCUGGGGCUGGAGUCGGUCCCAAGGGUUGGGCUGUUCGCCCAUUAAAGCGGUACGCGAGCUGGGUUUAGAACGUCGUGAGACAGUUCGGUCCCUAUCCGCUGUGCGCGUAGGAAUAUUGAGAAGGGCUGUCCCUAGUACGAGAGGACCGGGACGGACGAACCUCUGGUGUGCCAGUUGUCCUGCCAAGGGCAUGGCUGGUUGGCUACGUUCGGAAAGGAUAACCGCUGAAAGCAUCUAAGCGGGAAGCCUGCUUCGAGAUGAGUAUUCCCACCAACUUGAUUGGUUAAGGCUCCCAGUAGACGACUGGGUUGAUAGGCCAGAUGUGGAAGCCCGGUAACGGGUGGAGCUGACUGGUACUAAUAGGCCGAGGGCUUGUCCUCAGUUG